UACAGAGGUCCCAAGCGUUGUUCGGAUUUACUGGGCGUAAAGGGCGCGUAGGCGGCGCACCAAGUCAGGCGUGAAAGCCCUGGGCUCAACCCGGGAAUUGCGCUUGAGACUGGUGUGCUUGAGUACGGGAGAGGAUAGUGGAAUUCCCAGUGUAGAGGUGAAAUUCGUAGAUAUUGGGAAGAACACCGGUGGCGAAGGCGGCUAUCUGGACCGUAACUGACGCUGAGGCGCGAAAGCGUGGGGAGCAAACAGG
rnacentral:rRNA from 1 species